rnacentral:rRNA from 1 species
AUUAGCUAGUUGGCGGGGUAACGGCCCACCAAGGCGAUGAUGCGUAGCCGACCUGAGAGGGUGACCGGCCACACUGGGACUGAGACACGGCCCAGACUCCUACGGGAGGCAGCAGUAGGGAAUUUUCGGCAAUGGGGGAAACCCUGACCGAGCAACGCCGCGUGAGUGAUGAAGGCCUUCGGGUUGUAAAGCUCUGUUGUAAGGGAAGAACGGCGAUGAUAGGGAAUGAUCAUCGAGUGACGGUACCUUACCAGAAAGCCACGGCUAACUACGUGCCAGCAGCCGCGGUAAUACGUAGGUGGCAAGCGUUAUCCGGAAUUAUUGGGCGUAAAGGGUGCGUAGGCGGCCAUUUAAGUCUAAGGUGAAAGUUCGAGGCUCAACUUCGAAUUGCCUUAGAAACUGGGUGGCUAGAGUGCAGGAGAGGGCAAUGGAAUUCCAUGUGUAGCGGUAAAAUGCGUAGAUAUAUGGAGGAACACCAGUGGCGAAGGCGGUUGCCUGGCCUGUAACUGACGCUGAAGCACGAAAGCGUGGGGAGCAAAUAGGAUUAGAUACCCUAGUAGUCCACGCCGUAAAC